UAGCUCAGUUGGUAAAGCAUCUGCCUGCAAUGCAGGAGACCCAGGUUCAACCCCUGG
rnacentral:tRNA from 1 species